AUUUCUUGGAGCACGCAAGAGCACAACGCUCUUGCUGGUCCCCACACUCAGCUGCACUUGGGAACUGACAACUUUACCAGCCAGCAGCUCCAUCCUUCACUCACAGGAGCUCAGCUGCCAGCCAGCAGCUCCGCCCUUCACUCACAGGAGCUCAGCUGCCAGCCAGCAGCUCCGCCCUUCACUCACAGGAGCUCAGCUGCCAGCCAGCAGCUCCGUCCUUCACUCACAGGGGCUCAGCUGCCAGCCAGCAGCUCCGUCCUUCAUUCACAGGAGCUCAGCUGCCAGCCAGCAGCUCCGUCCUUCACUCACAGGAGCUCAGCUGCCAGCCAGCAGCUCCGCCCUUCACUCACAGGAGCGCAGCGUCAGAGGAGGUGACUGCUGCCUGGGAUCCACCUCUUCCAUCAGAACCAACAGGCCAAACCAACAUGACAUCCCCUGUGCCCAAACAUGAACGGAACUUGUUUAUUCAAGAAAUCGGGAGAGAGAAUGGCUGCCUUCCCAGAGAGGACAGAUUUUUUCUGAAGAUGGAGCCAAGGAACUCCAGGAAGCUGAUCCUACAGGAAUAAGGGUCCCACACGGCAAUGUGGAGCGGGAGGAUCAGGGAUGAGAAACACCAGACAGAAAGCAGUAGGAAUUGGAGGUCUGCCUGGACUGAUGGCUCCACCAGUUUAUUAAGCAGCGAGCAUCUUCUGCAGUUGGCAGGGGAAUUGGACAGACUCAGCAGAAAGCUAUCACACAAUGAGAAGUCAGCAGCAAGCUUAUCUAGCAAUGUUGCACAAGAGGCACCCAGGAUAUCUCAAGUGCAUCACAGACCAGUCCCACAGUGGCCCAGGCACUGAUAAUCAAGAGGGGAAGAGCUGGAUUCCCAGGACUCAAAUCGACAGCUCCCCUGAGGGCCUGGCACCAGUAUGUCACACAUACUCCUGGUUUCCUUCUCCAUACAUCAGAGCCUCAGGAAAAGCCUUGGAUCAGCCUAGCUCCCAAGAAUUCUAAGCAAGCUUUCUGCCACUGAGCCACACCCCAGCCCCUCACUGGGUGGUUCU